rnacentral:rRNA from 1 species
GAUGAACGCUGGCGGUGUGCUUAACACAUGCAAGUCGAGCGAUGAAGCCCAGCUUGCUGGGUGGAUUAGUGGCGAACGGGUGAGUAACACGUGAGUAACCUGCCCUUGACUCUGGGAUAAGCCUGGGAAACUGGGUCUAAUACUGGAUAUGACUUCUCAUCGCAUGGUGGGGGGUGGAAAGAUUUAUUGGUCUUGGAUGGACUCGCGGCCUAUCAGCUUGUUGGUGAGGUAAUGGCUCACCAAGGCGACGACGGGUAGCCGGCCUGAGAGGGUGACCGGCCACACUGGGACUGAGACACGGCCCAGACUCCUACGGGAGGCAGCAGUGGGGAAUAUUGCACAAUGGGCGCAAGCCUGAUGCAGCGACGCCGCGUGAGGGAUGACGGCCUUCGGGUUGUAAACCUCUUUCAGUAGGGAAGAAGCGAGAGUGACGGUACCUGCAGAAGAAGCGCCGGCUAACUACGUG